UACGUAGGUGGCAAGCGUUGUCCGGAUUUACUGGGCGUAAAGGGAGCGUAGGUGGAUAUUUAAGUGGGAUGUGAAAUACUCGGGCUUAACCUGGGUGCUGCAUUCCAAACUGGAUAUCUAGAGUGCAGGAGAGGAAAGUAGAAUUCCUAGUGUAGCGGUGAAAUGCGUAGAGAUUAGGAAGAAUACCAGUGGCGAAGGCGACUUUCUGGGCUGUAACUGACACUGAGGCUCGAAAGCGUGGGGAGCAAACAGG
rnacentral:rRNA from 1 species